GGAGGAAUCUCAAAAACGCUGAUUAUAUAUUGAGCUCAAGCGGUGUCAUGGGAUCGCUGGGAAGGUCUGCAAGCUGGCUCUGCUGCCCAUCGCCACCUGAAUUUUGCCUCGAGCGACAAGGGCUUCGCUACCACCAAAGCAGGACCUUCGAGCUGGAGAAAUGUACCAUCCUGAUCAGCUUCUGAAAUCGUGGUUCCGAUAUCAGCACU
rnacentral:ribozyme from 1 species